AGCAAUUUUUUCUUCUUUAUUUUUGUUAAAUAAGAUUCCAGAAAGUAUAGUGCAAACACUCAGUAGAAAAGUUGCAAUUAAGAAAUGUACAUUCACAUUUAACAUUUCAGUCCAUUCACUGGUUUUUGCUUUUUAAAUAAAAAUAGGACAAAUUAUUCAAUUACUUGUCUCAAUUUAACAAUCUUGGAAAAGACUGGAAGGUGCUCUACAGUGUUCAGUUGACGUAAAAAUAGACCCGUAUUGAUUAUACAAAUCUAUCACGAGAGGUUCCCCAGUGAUAUUGAGUUGGUGUCCUGGAACAGACAUCUGGUUUCCGCGUCUAAAGAAGCACUCUCAGCAAGGUCUACUGAUGGGAGAACGUGUCACCCAGGCCCACUCUGUGCUCCCAGGCGGGACACGGAGGGACACAGGGGUUCACACAAACCCUUCUCAGACAAUCAAGAAAGUCCAAGCGGGGGCUUUGGGUUUACCUUAAAUGAGAGAUGGUUGUAAUUGUUACAUUAUCUCUGCUUGUGCAAGGCGGUGUGCAAUCAGUGUGAAGGAGAGAUGGAGGAAGGGGGGGGGGCUCUGCAGGUGUGCAGGAGAUGCAAGGCUCAGUCGGGGUCCGGGACCCGCCGUGGCGGGACGCUCUGCGGCCAGCCGGCAGACGACCCGUGGUGGCCUGGGCCUGUCCCUUUGCACAUGCUGCAUGUGUUGGAAUCCAAACGAAGUUUCACACACUUGGGAAUCUCACAGCAUGCGAUGCUGAGUGCGUGUGGCUUGCGGGGCCGCAGUUUCCAACGGGGAGGAAGGCAGGACUGCAAGCCUCUCUGGGGCUGAUGCCCGGGGAGCGCCCUACGGGCAGGUGCAAGAGGCCGUGGAGGCUUCCUCGGGACUCCCGGAACGUGGGAGUGGUCCCCUGAGACUGAGAUCUGCCCCUGGGUGUCCUCCUGUCCCCAGGAAGGGACACUACACCACGUGAUGAGGACAUUGGCCGGCUCUGGCCAGGAGUUGGGGGCUGGCUUGGCUCCUUGUGAGGGGAGAGGCGUGUGCAGCUUGGGGGUUCCAGGGGGCCUGGCUCUCCCCCUGGCUGAUGUCAGAGAGGCCUUACAGGAAAAGACAGGACGACUGUGCUCCUGGCCGAGGGAGAGGCUGUUUACUAAGACACGAUGGCAGGUGGUACUGCGGACAUGGCUUCAGGACAGAAAGUGUAACAAGACAGGGCGAGGCGGGCUCCUUUGGGCCCCCACUGUGUCUCUGCUGGGGAUCAGCUGUUCAAGCAGAGGCAGGGCUCAGCCGCGAGCACAUGCCCUGUUCUCAUCUCGCCACGUGAGGCCUGGGUGAGGAUGACCUUGUGCCUGGGCACAUCCCUGGAUGGGCUGUGGGGCAAACCCCCGGCCUGAGGACCCACCUGGCUGCUCAGAACCAACCUGCCAGGCACCCCCGCCACUUGUGCGUGCACGGGCUAAGGGCUCCAUCAAAACCAACACUUCACUGAGUUCAUGGUUAGCUACGAGGCGCCCAAGAGAACGGACACCCAGGGGCUUGGGAUGGAUGGGACCCGGAUGCCUCCUGGUCCUGCGCUCAGUGCUGUGCAACUUUGUCCAAGUCUGUCACCUCUCUGAGCCUCUGAUUCCUCACGGACAACGUGGGGCGUGUAAGCAGGCCUCCCUCUGCAGACUGUCUGGAGGAGAGCGGGCUCGAGGCCGGGAAGGCGCUCCUUGCGGUCACAGGCAAAGCCCAUCAGAGUCAUCUGCUCACCAAAGCCCCCACGGGCCUCCCCUGCGC
ensembl:lncRNA